rnacentral:rRNA from 1 species
CCACCACUAAGCCAGUGGUGAACUCCACAUACGCAUCCUUUGCUGAGGAUACGGUUAACGGAGCGAAAGCGACGUUCAACCUCAAAAGAAGCAGAGGGGGCUUAGUGGUGGGGUGACUGCGUACCUUUUGUAUAAUGGGUCAGCGACUUAUAUUCUGUAGCAAGGUUAACCGCAUAGGGGAGCCGUAGGGAAACCGAGUCUUAACCGGGCGUUAAGUUGCAGGGUAUAGACCCGAAACCCGGUGAUCUAGCCAUGGGCAGGUUGAAGGUUGGGUAACACUAACUGGAGGACCGAACCGACUAAUGUUGAAAAAUUAGCGGAUGACCUGUGGCUGGGGGUGAAAGGCCAAUCAAACCGGGAGAUAGCUGGUUCUCCCCGAAAGCUAUUUAGGUAGCGCCUCGUGAACUCAUCUCCGGGGGUAGAGCACUGUUUCGGCUAGGGGGCCAUCCCGGCUUACCAACCCGAUGCAAACUGCGAAUACCGAAGAAUGUUAUCACGGGAGACACACGGCGGGUGCUAACGUCCGUCGUGAAGAGGGAAACAACCCAGACCGCCAGCUAAGGUCCCAAAGUCAUGGUUAAGUGGGAAACGAUGUGGGAAGGCACAGACAGCCAGGAUGUUGGCUUAGAAGCAGCCAUCAUUUAAAGAAAGCGUAAUAGCUCACUGGUCGAGUCGGCCUGCGCGGAAGAUGUAACGGGGCUAAACCAUGCACCGAAGCUGCGGCAGCGACACUAUGUGUUGUUGGGUAGGGGAGCGUUCUGUAAGCCGUUGAAGGUGUCCUGUGAGGGAUGCUGGAGGUAUCAGAAGUGCGAAUGCUGACAUAAGUAACGAUAAUGCGGGUGAAAAACCCGCACGCCGGAAGACCAAGGGUUCCUGUCCAACGUUAAUCGGGGCAGGGUGAGUCGACCCCUAAGGCGAGGCCGAAAGGCGUAGUCGAUGGGAAACAGGUUAAUAUUCCUGUACUUGGUGUUACUGCGAAGGGGGGACGGAGAAGGCUAUGUUGGCCGGGCGACGGUUGUCCCGGUUUAAGCGUGUAGGUGUGUGUUCCAGGUAAAUCCGGUUCACUUUAACACUGAGGCGUGAUGACGAGGCACUACGGUGCUGAAGUGACAAAUGCCCUGCUUCCAGGAAAAGCCUCUAAGCAUCAGGUAACACGAAAUCGUACCCCAAACCGACACAGGUGGUCAGGUAGAGAAUACCAAGGCGCUUGAGAGAACUCGGGUGAAGGAACUAGGCAAAAUGGUGCCGUAACUUCGGGAGAAGGCACGCUGAUAUGUAGGUGAAGCGGUUUACCCGUGGAGCUGAAAUCAGUCGAAGAUACCAGCUGGCUGCAACUGUUUAUUAAAAACACAGCACUGUGCAAACACGAAAGUGGACGUAUACGGUGUGACGCCUGCCCGGUGCCGGAAGGUUAAUUGAUGGGGUUAUCCGUAAGGAGAAGCUC